UACGUAGGUGGCAAGCGUUGUCCGGAUUUACUGGGCGUAAAGAGCGCGCAGGCGGCCGUCCAAGUCGAAUGUGAAAGCCCCCGGCUCAACUGGGGAGGGUCAUUCGAUACUGUUCGACUCGAAGGCAGGAGAGGGAAGUGGAAUUCCGGGUGUAGUGGUGAAAUGCGUAGAUAUCCGGAGGAACACCAGUGGCGAAGGCGACUUUCUGGCCUGUUCUGACGCUGAGGCGCGAAAGCUAGGGGAGCAAACGGG
rnacentral:rRNA from 1 species